UCACUGGGAAACCUGGUUUCCAGCCCUGGCUGCCACCAACGUAACUAUGGCCUCAAGAAGAUCCAGACCAUCAGUUCUGACCAUCAUCCAGACCAUCAGUUCCUCCCAGUAGAACUCCCUCCCAACCUGGCUCUCCAGAACACCCACCCCAGCUUCCCAGAAGUCUUGCGACGCUUCACAUCCCCAUACUCUGGACGUUUGUUGGGCACAGCUGAGCACAGUGAACAAGCUAGAUGGAGGGAAAGUAAGGUGUCUUCUGAAAUCAGACAGCCAAGGUUGGUUGGUUGGUCAGUUUGUUUUAGAGAAGGAGAAAACUUUAUUGUGUGUAUAUAAAGGGUGAUUUCAGUUGUCCUCUGAAGGGCACCCUGACUUUCAGCAUGAGACCAGGCUGCAUCACUUACAAACUGUGUGACCUUGGGCAGAAUCUCAGUUUCUUUUUAUCCUGGUUGUAAAGAAUUUAGUUGUUAUUAAUAUUGGCUUCAAGGUCACAGAACCUCUCUUCACAGUCUAUUUUUUCCUUCACUCCCCAGUGAGGAUUCUUCACCCCACCGCCCAAGUCUGGCCCUGACAUGCCUCUACUAGAGUUUGUCGGUGGGUCUCUCAACUCUGCCUCCCGUGGUCCCCAUUCCCUACUGGGUGGAAUUCCUGCCUGCGCCCACCCUGCCCUCUUCUGUUAUCGACAACAGCAGUUUUAGUCAUCUGACUUUGGUUGAUUGGUGUUCAGUUAGCACAGGAUUGAGAUCAGAGGGUAUACAUAUUAGUUAGAGAGACUAAUCACAAACUCGGUGAGUGAGCGCAGUGUUAGGGGCACUUGGUUUCCUCCCAGCUGUGUGGCCUUGGGCAAGCAACUUGACCUCUGUGGGAACCCACUGAAUGCACUGGUCCUCACCGUGCAAUCAUGAUAGG
rnacentral:lncRNA from 1 species